rnacentral:ncRNA from 1 species
UAAAAAACGUUGACCGAGAAUCGUCAAUUCUGCUGAAUUAAGAGAGCCGGUGGUUGGUGGAAACCGGUAGGAGGUAGUUGCGACAAAUCCCUCGCGAGUUGUAUGCCGAAAUAAUAGUAGAACAUACUGGUAGCAGCCAUUAUCUUGCCGAUUAAUUGCCAUUGUGGGCAGUUGAUUGAGGCAACCCUUGUGUUGUAAAUAAAGGUGGUACCACGUUGAUAGACGUCCUUUUA